rnacentral:snRNA from 1 species
GUGAUACUUUGGUAGCACAUAUACUAAAAUUGGAAUGAUACGGAGAAGAUUAGCAUGGCCCCUGCGCAAGGAUGACA